rfam:Gossypium hirsutum cultivar TM-1 chromosome 22, whole genome shotgun sequence
AUCCCAUGAUGAGGGCACUUAUGAAGUAAUUCUUUGAAUCUCUCUCAAGCAUCAUACAAAGAUUCGUCAUCCAAUUGUUCAAAAUGGUUAUCUCAUUUUGCAACGU